CAGGAAGUAGUUUAGUUGAAAAUACCAGCUUUGGGAGCUGGCGAUAAAGGUUUGAUUCCUUUCUUUCUGA
rnacentral:tRNA from 1 species